AUAAAUAUCGCUGACUUGACUUCCGUCGGUGGUGCUUUUAUUUUUGUAACUCCCGGAACUGCCGCCCGUGCUUCUGUGGUGCAGCUUUCCCGGGCUCCGGGGCUGGAGACGCCCAUCUCCAGCUGCACCGCCCCGGUUACCGGAUCGGUUCCUCCCGCUGCCGGAGCCUCAGAGUCGGGCUGGAUGUGGAUCAGCGCCGCCGUCCCACCGCAACAGAUGUCUGAGAGUUAACUGGCUGACGAGGACUCCCCUCCCUGCCUCCAGCUGCAGCCAUGAACGAACCGUCCUGGUUUCUGCAUCCAAACCAGCUGCAUUAAAGCACCUGUCCAGGUAAACCCUGUUCUACUGCUACAGCUAGCGUUAGCUCCCGACCCACAUCCACCAGCGUCAGCAGAAGGAACGAGGCGGUAAUUAAUCUGUGCAGAGACGAGGAUUGUCCACAUGGACAGUGAGCUGAUAUUUAGCACAGCGCCGCUGGGACCUGAAGCUAACGUGGCCUCGGCUCAGGCCUGUCGGAGAUCCACAGCGUGUCAGAGGCCUCAGUGGAUAAGUGGGACAGCAGCAUGUAUGGAGCUCCACUGCAAACAUGUGAGAAGAAAAGAGCCAAACGUCUGCAUUAGAAGCUCAGAAAAUCCAACAGUGGCCGUCUAACGAAGGCCGUUAGAAACCCUGAAAGAAUGGACGCUAUUUACAUUUCUUGAGCAUUUUUUCCUCUAUUCAUGUCCUUUUGGCAUCUUUUUGUCUCAUUUUGUCUAUUUGUGUAUUGUUUUUGUCAUUUUUUGCAUCUUUUUGUCAUUUUUUGGUCUAUUUGUGUGUCAUUUUUGUAUGUUUGUGAAACAUUUUUUGUCUUUUUAUGUCCUUUUGCAUCUUUUCGUAUCAUUUUUGUCAAUUUGUGUAAUUUUUUGGUCUUGUGUCGUUUUUUGUCAUUUAUGUUGUUUUAUUGUCUAUUUGUGUCAUUUUUGCAUAUUUUUGUGUCAUUAUUUAUCAUACUUGUGUUAUUUUUGUGCUUUUUAGUGUCAUUUUUAUAGUUCUGUUGGUUAAAUCAACCAAAACCAAAUGUCAAACAUUUGUCCACAAAGUUGUUAGUUAGUUUUUAUACCAAUGUUAUUAAAAAUAAUCUGCAAAAAAUGACAUAAAGACAAAAAGUUACACAAAAAAGACAGAAAAAGAUGCAAGAAUGACACAAAUGGACUAAAAAUGACAAAUUUAGUUGUAAAAAUGACACAAAAAGACACAAAAAUGACAAAAUAGACAAAAAAUGACAAAAAUAGAUGCAAAAAUGACAAAAAGAUGCAAAAAUGACAGACAAAAAAUGACUAAAAAGAUGCAAAAAUGACACAAAAAAUUUCAGAAAUGAAGCAAAUAGACAAAUAAAUCAAUGAAUGAUUCCGAUUAAGAGUCUUGAUUUAUCAUUUUAGCAGUUACUGUGCAUUAAUUUUAAUGGUAAUUCUAUUAAAUAUCAACAUCUUGGUCUAAGUUUUCUAUUAAAACCUUGCACUCCAGGAAUAUUCUCAGCCAUGUUUGAUGUCAUUUCAUUCAUUUUGCUUCCACAUUAGUUUUAUUUCUGCUCGUUAGUCUGCUUUAGAGUUCCUUAUUAUUGUUCUGCAGUUUGAUAAUUCAAAGCAGAGACUCCACACGUUGUCGUCUUCCUGCACCUUUAAGUUCUGAAGGAUCUGAGCUGAUGUCUGAUUUGGUUUGGGGUCUGUGUCGCCAUGGCAACAGCCUCCACCAUCAGGGAGGUCCGUCUGUCGUCGGCGAGCAGAAGAAAAGUUAGAUUUCUGUCCCGGCUGAAGUGGGUCAGUCGGUCUGUGACGCCUUUUACAGCCGAUAAAUCAGAAUUCUGAGCAUCGAUCUGCUGCUUUAUCUCCACUUAAAGCUCAUAAAUCAUCAUAAAGUCACUUCUGUCCCACAAACUGGCUUCAUUCUGCAGAAAAGUCUCUGAUUUGAUGAACUCCUGCUGAGCUCUGAGGAUUAAUUGAUCCUUCAUCUGCCUCCAUUAAAGCUGAAAUCGAGUCAGAAUUGAGUUUUGACUCCGUUUUUAAUUCAUGACGACCCUGAACUUACCUCCAGCUGCUGCUUUUAUAAUUAAUCAUGUCAGAGAGUUUCAUCUGGGAGGGAAUUAUUCAGCAUUAAAGUCCUGUCGCUCACAUUCUGCUUUAAAUCUGCGAAGAUUCUUCGUUUAUUUGCAAUCUAAAGUCCUGCAGAAACUGGAGAUGGAUAAAAACCUGCUUUAAGAUAAGAUAAGAUAAAGUUCUUUAUUUCUCCCCACUCCAGGGGAAAUUUACAUUGUUACAGCAGCUUAUGUAACAGUGGACGUAGUGAUAAGAAUAAAAUAAUAAUAGAACAAUAGUAAUAAUAUUUACAAUAUAUACAAGGGUGAGAGAUGAGGAUAAAGUGGCUUAACAGAAAAAAUAAAAAUAAAGUUUAAAAGUGCAAAGAUGUGCAGUGCAAGAAUGUCAGUGCAACUUUUAUGGUUUGGGAUGGUAAUGAUAUAGUCCAGUUUAUGUUAACAUCAGCCAGUGAUGCUGAUGUUGUUCAGUCUUAUAGCAGAUGGAAUGAAGGACCUGUGAUAGCGCUCCUUCUUGCAGGGUGGAUGUUCACCAGGCUUAAAACCUUCCUUUUCGACAAAGCUUAUAGUUAGG